rnacentral:ncRNA from 1 species
UGCAUAUUUCGCUGCGGCGGAGCUCGACCGCCCCGUCCGCAAAUGAUCGCGUUCAUUGACGAUCACCGUUCUGUCCAUGGUGCUUUGCCACUGGAACGCCA